rnacentral:rRNA from 1 species
GGCGAUAAAUCAUUCAAGUUUCUGACCUAUCAGCUUUCGACGGUAUGGUAUUGGCUUACCGUGGCAGUGACGGUUAACGGGGGAUUAGGGUUCGAUUCCGGAGAGGGAGCCUGAGAAACGGCUACCACAUCUAAGGAAGGCAGCAGGCGCGCAAAUUACCCAAUUCUAACAGUUUGAGAGAGGUAGUAACAAGAAAUAACAAUACAAGGCAAUUAAAAUGCUUUGUAAUUGGAAUGAUAGAAAUUUAAACCCUUUUUAAAGUAUCAAUUGGAGGGCAAGUCUGGUGCCAGCAGCCGCGGUAAUUCCAGCUCCAAUAGCGUAUAUUAAAAUUGUUGCAGUUAAAAAGCUCGUAGUUGAAGUUCUGCUAAAAGUAACCGGUCUGCUUUUAAUAAAAGUGGUAUCUUGGUGUGUAUUUAGCAAUGAUGUCCUUUGAAGUGUUUUUUACUUUAUUGUAAUAAAGCAUAUUCAGGACUUUUACUUUGAGAAAAUUAGAGUGUUUCUAGCAGGCCGACGCUUUGAAUACUGCAGCAUG